GACGAACGCUGGCGGCGUGCCUAAUACAUGCAAGUCGAGCGAAGUUUUUCUGGUGCUUGCACUAGAAAAACUUAGCGGCGAACGGGUGAGUAACACGUAAAGAACCUGCCUCAUAGACUGGGACAACUAUUGGAAACGAUAGCUAAUACCGGAUAACAGUAUUUCUCGCAUGAGAGAUAUUUAAAAGUUGGUUAUGCUAACACUAUGAGAUUGCUUUGCGGUGCAUUAGCUAGUUGGUGGGGUAAAGGCCCACCAAGGCGACGAUGCAUAGCCGACCUGAGAGGGUGAUCGGCCACACUGGAACUGAGACACGGCCCAGACUCCUACGGGAGGCAGCAGUAGGGAAUCUUCCGCAAUGGGCGAAAGCCUGACGGAGCAACGCCGCGUGAGUGAAGAAGGAUUUCGGUUCGUAAAGCUCUGUUGUUAGGGAAGAAUGGAUAUGUAGUAACUAUACAUGUAAGAGACGGUACCUAACCAGAAAGCCACGGCUAACUACGUG
rnacentral:rRNA from 1 species